UCUUCGGAGGCACCUGCACAGGUGCUGCAUGGCUGUCGUCAGCUCGUGUCGUGAGAUGUUGGGUUAAGUCCCGCAACGAGCGCAACCCUUAUCCCUAGUUGCCAUCAGGUAAAGCUGGGAACUCUGGGGAGACUGCCGGUGAUAAACCGGAGGAAGCGGGGAUGACGUCAAGUCCUCAUGGCCCUUACAUCCCGGGCUACACACGUGCUACAAUGGCAGGUACAGAGGGCUGCGAAGCCGCGAGGUGGAGCGAAUCCCAGAAGACCUGUCUCAGUCCGGAUUGAAGUCUGCAACUCGACUUCAUGAAGGCGGAAUCGCUAGUAACCGCGAAUCAGCAGGUCGCGGUGAAUACGUUCCCGGGCCUU
rnacentral:rRNA from 1 species